rnacentral:rRNA from 1 species
GCUAGUAAUGGCAGGUCAGCAUACUGCCGUGAAUACGUUCCCGGGCCUUGUACACACCGCCCGUCACACCAUGAGAGUUGGGAAUACCCGAAGCCUGUGAGCUAACAUUAAGAGGCAGCAGUCGAAGGUAGAAUCAAUGAUUGGGGUGAAGUCGUAACAAGGUAUC